rnacentral:rRNA from 1 species
UUAAAUUGAAGAGUUUGAUCAUGGCUCAGAUUGAACGCUGGCGGCAGGCCUAACACAUGCAAGUCGAACGGUACCAGGAAGCAGCUUG